rnacentral:tRNA from 1 species
GGAUAGCUCAGUCGGUUAGAGCGUCGGAUUCAUAACCCGGAGGUCCUGAGUUCAAUUCUCA